rnacentral:rRNA from 1 species
CAUAGCCACUAGUUGUUAUUAUGUGGUUUAACCUGCCCAAUGUGAUUGAAUGAAUGGCCGCGGUACUCUGACCGUGCUAAGGUAGCGUAAUCAGUUGACUUUUAAAUGAGGUCAGGAAUGAAUGGGAGAACUGGGUUUAGCUGUCUCUAAUUUAUUUUUUUGAAUUUACUGUCUAAGUGAAAAAGCUUAGGUUUUGAAGAGGGACGAGAAGACCCUUAGAAUUUUUUUUAAAAAUCAAUUUGUUUGUUUUAUGAUUUUAUUGGGGCGAUAUAGAAACAUUUAAAACUUUCUUUAACUAAAACAAGCCGAUUAUUUUAUGCGAGGAUAAAUUACCUGAGGGAUAACAGCAUAAUUCUAUAACUGAGUUUGUGACCUCGAUGUUGGACUAGGAAACUAAUAGGCUAGCCGUUUAUUAAGUUAGGUUCUGUUCGAACUUUUAUUCCU